rnacentral:rRNA from 1 species
GAGCAACCUGCCCCUGACUCUGGGAUAAGCGCUGGAAACGGCGUCUAAUACUGGAUAUGUGACGUGAUCGCAUGGUCUGCGUCUGGAAAGAAUUUCGGUUGGGGAUGGGCUCGCGGCCUAUCAGCUUGUUGGUGAGGUAAUGGCUCACCAAGGCGUCGACGGGUAGCCGGCCUGAGAGGGUGACCGGCCACACUGGGACUGAGACACGGCCCAGACUCCUACGGGAGGCAGCAGUGGGGAAUAUUGCACAAUGGGCGCAAGCCUGAUGCAGCAACGCCGCGUGAGGGAUGACGGCCUUCGGGUUGUAAACCUCUUUUAGCAGGGAAGAAGCGAAAGUGACGGUACCUGCAGAAAAAGCGCCGGCUAACUACGUGCCAGCAGCCGCGGUAAUACGUAGGGCGCAAGCGUUAUCCGGAAUUAUUGGGCGUAAAGAGCUCGUAGGCGGUUUGUCGCGUCUGCUGUGAAAUCCGGAGGCUCAACCUCCGGCCUGCAGUGGGUACGGGCAGACUAGAGUGCGGUAGGGGAGAUUGGAAUUCCUGGUGUAGCGGUGGAAUGCGCAGAUAUCAGGAGGAACACCGAUGGCGAAGGCAGAUCUCUGGGCCGUAACUGACGCUGAGGAGCGAAAGGGUGGGGAGCAAACAGGCUUAGAUACCCUGGUAGUCCACCCCGUAAACGUUGGGAACUAGUUGUGGGGUCCAUUCCACGGAUUCCGUGACGCAGCUAACGCAUUAAGUUCCCCGCCUGGGGAGUACGGCCGCAAGGCUAAAACUCAAAGGAAUUGACGGGGACCCGCACAAGCGGCGGAGCAUGCGGAUUAAUUCGAUGCAACGCGAAGAACCUUACCAAGGCUUGACAUAUACGAGAACGGGCCAGAAAUGGUCAACUCUUUGGACACUCGUAAACAGGUGGUGCAUGGUUGUCGUCAGCUCGUGUCGUGAGAUGUUGGGUUAAGUCCCGCAACGAGCGCAACCCUCGUUCUAUGUUGCCAGCACGUAAUGGUGGGAACUCAUGGGAUACUGCCGGGGUCAACUCGGAGGAAGGUGGGGAUGACGUCAAAUCAUCAUGCCCCUUAUGUCUUGGGCUUCACGCAUGCUACAAUGGCCGGUACAAAGGGCUGCAAUACCGCGAGGUGGAGCGAAUCCCAAAAAGCCGGUCCCAGUUCGGAUUGAGGUCUGCAACUCGACCUCAUGAAGUCGGAGUCGCUAGUAAUCGCAGAUCAGCAACGCUGCGGUGAAUACGUUCCCGGGUCUUGUACAC